rnacentral:rRNA from 1 species
UACGUAGGGUGCAAGCGUUGUCCGGAAUUAUUGGGCGUAAAGAGCUCGUAGGCGGCUUGUCGCGUCGGCUGUGAAAACCUGGGGCUCAACCCCGGGCCUGCAGCCGAUACGGGCAAGCUAGAAUUCGGUAGGGGAGACUGGAAUUCCUGGUGUAGCGGUGAAAUGCGCAGAUAUCAGGAAGAACACCCGUGGCUAAGGCGGCUCUCUAGUACGGUACUGACGCUGAGACGCGAAAGCGUGGGGAGCGAGCAGG